rnacentral:rRNA from 1 species
GACGAGGGGUCCUAGCGUUGUUCGGAAUCACUGGGCGUAAAGGGCGCGUAGGCGGCCUGAUAAGUAGGGGGUGAAAUCCUGCGGCUUAACCGCAGGGCUGCCUUCUAAACUGUCAGGCUAGAGCACGGUAGAGGCAGAUGGAAUUCCCGGUGUAGCGGUGGAAUGCGUAGAGAUCGGGAAGAACAUCAGUGGCGAAGGCGGUCUGCUGGGCCGUUGCUGACGCUGAGGCGCGACAGCGUGGGGAGCAAACAGG